UUUAAGGUUUAACCUGCCCACUGAUUUAUUAAAUGGCCGCAGUAAUUUGACUGUGCAAAGGUAGCAUAAUCAUUAGUUUUUUAAUUAAAAGCUUGCAUGAAUGGUUGGACGAAAUAAAUACUGUCUUAGAAUAAUAAAUAGAAUUUAAUUUUUAAGUUAAAAAGCUUAAAUAAUUGUAAAAGACGAGAAGACCCUAUAGAUCUUUAUAAUAUUUUAUUUAUAUUUAAUUAAGAUUAUUUUAUUAUUUAUAUAAAAUAUUAUUUUAUUGGGGUAAUAAAAAGAUUAGAUUAAUUCUUUAUAAUUUAUAUAUAAAUUAAUAAAUUUUUGAUCCUUUAAUAUAGAUUUUAAGAUUAAGAUACCUUAGGGAUAACAGCGUAAUUUUUUUGGAGAGUUCAUAUCGAUAAAAAAGUUUGCGACCUCGAUGUUGGAUUAAAAAUUAUUUUAGGUGUAGUAGUUUAAAAUUUUGGUCUGUUCGACCAUUGAAUUUUUACAUGAUCUGAGUUCAGACCGGUGUAAGCCAGGUCGGUUUCUAUCUUUAUUAAGUUAAUAUAUUUUAGUACGAAAGGACCAAAUAUAAAAUGGAUUAAAUAUUUUUGUUUUUGAAUUAUAUU
rnacentral:rRNA from 1 species